GUUUAAUAUGUGUGCAUGUAAUAUAAUGAAAGCUUGUGUAAAAAUUUUGUAGCAAAUUUGAGUACAAUUGUUUUUAGUUAAACAACUGCAUGACCUUUAGCCCAUAUGCAUAUUUUGCUGUAGACCGAAAGAUGGCUGCCGCUCCUCAUACCGUUCCUUAUUCAAGCGCAAGUCAUAAAACCAAAAGACAAAACAAACACAAACAGUUGUGGGCGACUGACCUUGCCAAACUUUUAGGGAAAGACAGCUGGAACAGUACUUGAUGUCGUUUCAACAAAACCCCUUUAAUUAGAAAAUAGCAGCCUAAGAAACUGGAUGGGGACAUGGAACCCGAGCUUUGUUUAUUAAACAUUUACUCAUAGUUUAUUUAUUUUUGUAUAUUAAGUAGCGCUAGUUAUCCUUUCAUAAUUGAAAGGAACGCUAACACAACAAAAGCGUAAUUCCCAAAAGAAAAUGUAUGCUUCGGCACCAAAGGGUGAUGGGAAUGCUGGGAUACGCACCUUCAUCUAAGCUUUUGUUUGUGUCUGGCUAUCAUCAGUAUCAUUACAGUGCUAAUCUGGGUGUGGUUGGCAGGAAGAGACUCGGCCCAGUGUACCCAAAACAAAGGCUGGAGCAGCGAACCCAGAGCUUCAGCAACUACAAAGCAGAAAUCGGUGUGGUUGAUGAGUUUACUUGAUUCAUUUUACGCCAGUGAUGUAUGGAAGCCUGAUUCCACAAAAAACAAGUGGCGUGGAGCUGUGUACAUACAAACGGUUAAUGUGUGGUGUCACACGCACAUACGCACCAAACACAGCAGAGUGUGUCUGUUUGCUGUGGUGAGGGAGCACUGACGUGUGUGGCACCAGCAUGUGAAGGCCAGUGGGCUGAGUGUGGCCGUUCCAGUCAAGUGCGUACGACUUUGGGAAGGAUUCACAAACUGCCUCUUCCCACGUUGACACAAAUACUUGGGCCCAUGUGACAUCCUGUGUGGAAAAGGCGAACAAUAACGGACUGCUACGUCAAGACCUGGGAACUGCGCUGUGAGAGACGUACCAUCACACCUCAAACACAUCAAGCCAGUUCCGCCCUCGGCUCGUCAGUGUUUAGUGUCUGGUCACCGAGGUUCAUUUCCCGCAAUAUUACAAAGGAAUGUGUCACCACAGACUUUUUUUAUUGUAUUUUUUUCCUGUGAAUACUUCAGUGGUAGUAUAGAAAGCAAACUUUACAUAAAUAAGAUAGAAAAUAUUGUUUUUUAAUUUAGUUAGUUAGUUUUGGGGUACAUUUUGGGGUAAAGAUAUAAAGUUAUUAAAGAAUGGCUAUUAAAAAUAAUUAA